rnacentral:rRNA from 1 species
UACAGAGACUGCAAGCGUUAUCCGGAUUUACUGGGUUUAAAGGGUGCGUAGGUGGGUUGGUAAGUCAGUGGUGAAAUACUUUCGCUUAACGAAGGAACUGCCAUUGAUACUACCAGUCUUGAAUACAGUGGAGGUAGGCGGAAUGCGUCAUGUAGCGGUGAAAUGCUUAGAUAUGACGCAGAACACCAAUUGCGAAGGCAGCUUGCUGGACUGUUAUUGACACUGAGGCGCGAAAGCGUGGGGAGCAAACAGG